GGGAAAUCAUUUGAAUCCUGUCCUGGUAUUGCUUUGUGUUCCUGGAUUUGGAGAAUUUCUGGGAACACAGGAAAAGGAAAGUGAAUGCCACCAGGAUCUGAACCCAAGAUUCCAGCCUCGGUCACCACCCUGACCCUGAGAAUGCCACUGGGAUGGGGAGAACUUGUCAGUCUUCAUCCUUCCCCACAAGUAUACUGAAGCCAGGACAGCACCUGCCUUAGAGAGCUCUUAGAGGGAUUAUCCGCAGCCUGAAGAAAGAAGGUUACAACUGAGGAAGAACUUCUGAACAGGGAAGAGUGGAAGAAAAGACUGCAGUACGUAGAGCAUCAAGGGAAGCUGUGGAAAUAUAUUUUCUUAAGUACAGGCUCAGCUCCAGAAGCAGACCCAGAAUGGCAUCCUUCUCUGAGACCCAGACCCCAGCCCCUUUUCAUGGAAGACCAGCACAAAGGAGGAAGUAGGUUAGGGAAUGGUAAGGCUCCAUGUGAUGGGACUAAUGUGGAGAGGCCUGGGGCCUUUCCCUGAGGACUGGAUGGCUGGAGUUUGGGAGCCUGAGUUGACAGAGGAGGCUAAGCCCGGGCAGCUACUUUGUUCCAGAAAUCUAAGGUCCCUGGAGGGAGGCUCUGCUUUGGGAGGGGGAAGGGAGCUAACAUUGCAGAGCACCAACUGUGAACCAGGUACAAUGGCAGAGCCUUUCCAUACCUGUACUCACAACUAGCGGGUGAGGAGUCAAGGCAAAUAGGUGUCUCAUAGCUCCCCAUAUCUCGGCAGUCGACCACCUCCUCCUUUGAUUCUCUGAUGUCACUGCCAGUUCUCCUCCUAUUGCUCUGACCUGUCUUUCUCUGUGUCCUUUGCAAACUCAUUCUCAACUCCUUAGACUCAGUCAAGUCCCCCAGUUACACACUUCCAUGGUACUAUAUAUCAUUCCUUCAGAGCACUUAACACAGUUAUUUCCUAUGUAUUUGUCCAGUCAUUUGAAUAAUGAUCCUAGUUUCAUUGGAUGGAAAGUUCCACAAGGUCAGUGACCAUUUCUAUCUGUGUUCACCAAUGUGUUCCCAGUGCCCAGAAACAAUGCCUAGCAUAAAGCAGCUGUUUUGUAAAUACUUGUUCAAUGAAUGAAUAAAUGACAAAAGAACAUCUC
rnacentral:lncRNA from 1 species